UUGAAAGGGAAACGAUUGAAGUCAGUCGUACCAGCGGGAAAUCAACCUUUCGAGUGGGGUUUUGGAGUUUUGAAGAGUGUCAAAACCUUUGAGAUUUCAAAAUUUUCGCUCCUUUGGUGUACUUUCUCGUGGGUAGGUUAACAUCGAUUUCGAUCAUCAUAAAAGGAUUGGAGGAAUGUAGCUUCGAUCUUGUAUUGAAGUGUUAUAGCCUUUGGUAAAUGUGAUGAUUGGGAUCGAGGAUUGCAGCGAAUACCCUUUUGGGCUAUCCGCCUGAUCUCUGAUACGUGGCCUUGGCAUCGAAAGCUUGCUUAUGGUAUCAAGGUAUUACGGUCAAAAGGUUAGAACGGAUUACAUUCGUUAAGGAUGUUGACGUA
rnacentral:rRNA from 1 species